rnacentral:rRNA from 1 species
CCUACGGGAGGCAGCAGUGGGGAAUAUUGGGCAAUGGGCGGAAGCCUGACCCAGCCACGCCGCGUGAGUGAUGAAGGCCUUCGGGUUGUAAAGCUCUGUGGGAAGGGGCGCGGUACCUUCUUAGCAAGCACCGGCUAACUCUGUGCCAGCAGCCGCGGUAAGACAGAGGGUGCAAACGUUGCUCGGAUUUACUGGGCGUAAAGCGCGUGUAGGCGGGCGACUAAGUCGGAUGUGAAAUCCCUGGGCUCAACCUAGGAACUGCAUUCGAAACUGGUCACCUAGAGUGAUGGAGAGGAAAGCGGAAUUCCCGGUGUAGAGGUGAAAUUCGUAGAUAUCGGGAGGAACACCAGUGGCGAAGGCGGCUUUCUGGACUUACUGACGCUGAGACGCGAAAGCGUGGGGAGCAAACAGGAUUAGAUACCCUUGUAGUC